AUGCUUGUAGCUUAAUUUGGAUAGAGCGUUAGACUACGAAUCUAAAGGAUGAAAGUUCAAGUCUUUCCAAGCAUG
rnacentral:tRNA from 1 species